CCUACGGGGGGCAGCAGUGAGGAAUAUUGGUCAAUGGUCGGGAGCCUGCCCCCGCCACGCCGCGUGAGGGAGGAAGGUACAGAGUAUCGUAAACCUCUUUUGUCAGGGAACAAAGGCGGGGACGUGUCCCCGGAUGAGUGUACCCGAAGAAAAAGCAUCGGCUAACUCCGUGCCAGCAGCCGCGGCAAUACGAGGGAUGCGGGCGUUGUCCGGUUUUGUUGGGGUAAAAGGGUGCGCAGGCGGUAUGUUAAGUCAGCGGUAAAAGCCCGGGGCUCACCCCCGGCCCGCCGUUGAAACUGGCAGUCUCGAGUUGGAGAGAAGUAGGCGGAAUGCGCGGUGUAGCGGUGAAAUGCAUAGAUAUCGCGCAGAACUCCGAUUGCGAAGGCAGCAUGCCGGCUCCACACUGACGCUGAGGCACGAAAGCGUGGGUAUCGAACAGGAUUAGAUACCCCUGUAGUC
rnacentral:rRNA from 1 species